GCUACAUUCUCUCAGGGUCACGUGAUGCAACUCUUUUGCUGUGGUAUUGGAAUGGAAAAUGCAGUGGGAUUGGAGAUAACCCAGGCAGUGAGACUGCUGCUCCUCGGGCCAUUUUGACCGGCCAUGACUAUGAGGUCACAUGUGCUGCGGUGUGUGCGGAGCUAGGCCUGGUGUUGAGUGGUUCACAAGAAGGACCAUGUCUCAUACAUUCCAUGAAUGGAGACUUGUUGAGGACCUUGGAGGGUCCUGAAAACUGCCUGAAACCAAAACUCAUUCAGGCUUCAAGAGAGGGUCAUUGUGUCAUAUUCUAUGAAAACGGCCUCUUCUGUACAUUCAGUGUGAAUGGAAAACUCCAGGCCACGAUGGAAACAGAUGAUAACAUAAGAGUGCAUCAUUUCUGGCAUGGCUUCAGGAAGCAUUGUGCUAUUUUACAACGACUUUAACCGGUGGCAUCAUGAAUACCAAACCCGCUACUGAUGGUGACAGCUGUACAUCAACUCUGCCCCUAGGAUGAGCAGAAGUACCUGGAGCAUCAUUCUCUUCUACCACAUCUGAAUGUAACUUAAAUUUGCUCAAAGAAGCAAAAUAUUUUUUAAAGUUAUUAAUAAUUGCUAUUUUUGUAGUCUUUGCUUG
rnacentral:lncRNA from 1 species